rnacentral:rRNA from 1 species
CGGGCGUUAAGUUGCAGGGUAUAGACCCGAAACCCGGUGAUCUAGCCAUGGGCAGGUUGAAGGUUGGGUAACACUAACUGGAGGACCGAACCGACUAAUGUUGAAAAAUUAGCGGAUGACCUGUGGCUGGGGGUGAAAGGCCAAUCAAACCGGGAGAUAGCUGGUUCUCCCCGAAAGCUAUUUAGGUAGCGCCUCGUGAAUUCAUCUCCGGGGGUAGAGCACUGUUUCGGCUAGGGGGCCAUCCCGGCUUACCAACCCGAUGCAAACUGCGAAUACCGGAGAAUGUUAUCACGGGAGACACACGGCGGGUGCUAACGUCCGUCGUGAAGAGGGAAACAACCCAGACCGCCAGCUAAGGUCCCAAAGUCAUGGUUAAGUGGGAAACGAUGUGGGAAGGCCCAGACAGCCAGGAUGUUGGCUUAGAAGCAGCCAUCAUUUAAAGAAAGCGUAAUAGCUCACUGGUCGAGUCGGCCUGCGCGGAAGAUGUAACGGGGCUAAACCAUGCACCGAAGCUGCGGCAGCGACACUCAGGUGUUGUUGGGUAGGGGAGCGUUCUGUAAGCCUGUGAAGGUGUGUCGUGAGGCAUGCUGGAGGUAUCAGAAGUGCGAAUGCUGACAUAAGUAACGAUAAAGCGGGUGAAAAGCCCGCUCGCCGGAAGACCAAGGGUUCCUGUCCAACGUUAAUCGGGGCAGGGUGAGUCGACCCCUAAGGCGAGGCCGAAAGGCGUAGUCGAUGGGAAACGGGUUAAUAUUCCCGUACUUGGUGUUACUGCGAAGGGGGGACGGAGAAGGCUAUGUUGGCCGGGCGACGGUUGUCCCGGUUUAAGCGUGUAGGUGUGUGUUCCAGGUAAAUCCGGUUCACUUUAACACUGAGGCGUGAUGACGAGGCACUACGGUGCUGAAGCAACAAAUGCCCUGCUUCCAGGAAAAGCCUCUAAGCAUCAGGUAACAUCAAAUCGUACCCCAAACCGACACAGGUGGUCAGGUAGAGAAUACCAAGGCGCUUGAGAGAACUCGGGUGAAGGAACUAGGCAAAAUGGUGCCGUAACUUCGGGAGAAGGCACGCUGACACGUAGGUGAAGUGAUUUACUCAUGGAGCUGAAGUCAGUCGAAGAUACCAGCUGGCUGCAACUGUUUAUUAAAAACACAGCACUGUGCAAACACGAAAGUGGACGUAUACGGUGUGACGCCUGCCCGGUGCCGGAAGGUUAAUUGAUGGGGUCAGCGCAAGCGAAGCUCCUGAUCGAAGCCCCGGUAAACGGCGGCCGUAACUAUAACGGUCCUAAGGUAGCGAAAUUCCUUGUCGGGUAAGUUCCGACCUGCACGAAUGGCGUAAUGAUGGCCAGGCUGUCUCCACCCGAGACUCAGUGAAAUUGAACUCGCUGUGAAGAUGCAGUGUACCCGCGGCAAGACGGAAAGACCCCGUGAACCUUUACUAUAGCUUGACACUGAACAUUGAGCCUUGAUGUGUAGGAUAGGUGGGAGGCUUUGAAGCGUGGACGCCAGUCUGCGUGGAGCCGACCUUGAAAUACCACCCUUUAAUGUUUGAUGUUCUAACGUGGACCCGUGAUCCGGGUUGCGGACAGUGUCUGGUGGGUAGUUUGACUGGGGCGGUCUCCUCCUAAAGAGUAACGGAGGAGCACGAAGGUUGGCUAAUCCUGGUCGGACAUCAGGAGGUUAGUGCAAUGGCAUAAGCCAGCUUGACUGCGAGCGUGACGGCGCGAGCAGGUGCGAAAGCAGGUCAUAGUGAUCCGGUGGUUCUGAAUGGAAGGGCCAUCGCUCAACGGAUAAAAGGUACUCCGGGGAUAACAGGCUGAUACCGCCCAAGAGUUCAUAUCGACGGCGGUGUUUGGCACCUCGAUGUCGGCUCAUCACAUCCUGGGGCUGAAGUAGGUCCCAAGGGUAUGGCUGUUCGCCAUUUAAAGUGGUACGCGAGCUGGGUUUAGAACGUCGUGAGACAGUUCGGUCCCUAUCUGCCGUGGGCGCUGGAGAACUGAGGGGGGCUGCUCCUAGUACGAGAGGACCGGAGUGGACGCAUCACUGGUGUUCGGGUUGUCAUGCCAAUGGCACUGCCCGGUAGCUAAAUGCGGAAGAGAUAAGUGCUGAAAGCAUCUAAGCACGAAACUUGCCCCGAGAUGAGUUCUCCCUGAGACUUAGAGUCUCCUGAAGGAACGUUGAAGACGACGACGUUGAUAGGCCGGGUGUGUAAGCGCAGCGAUGCGUUGAGCUAACCGGUACUAAUGAACCGUGAGGCUUAACCUU